AUAUAUUAUAUACCACCCUGAACACGCCCAAUCUCAUCAGAUCUCGGAAGCUAUGCAGGGUUGGGCCUGGUUAUACUUGGAUGGGUAUCCAAAAGAGAGUUAUAAUUUUUC
rnacentral:rRNA from 1 species